rnacentral:piRNA from 1 species
UGAAGACCAUGACAAGUCCUAGGUUUGC